UACGGAGGAGGCAAGCGUUAUCCGGAAUUACUGGGCGUAAAGCGUACGUAGGCGGCUUUGUAAGUUAGAGGUGAAAGCCCGGGGCUCAACUCCGGAAUUGCCUUUAAGACUGCAUCGCUUGAAUCAUGGAGAGGUGAGUGGAAUUCCGAGUGUAGAGGUGAAAUUCGUAGAUAUUCGGAGGAACACCAGUGGCGAAGGCGGCUCACUGGUCCGGUACUGACGCUGAGGUGCGAAAGCGUGGGGAGCAAACAGG
rnacentral:rRNA from 1 species